CGCUGGCGGCGUGCUUAACACAUGCAAGUCGAAACGAAGCAUAAGAGUUGCUUGCAACACUUAUGACUUAGUGGCGGACGGGUGAGUAACGCGUGGGUAACCUACCCUGUACAGGGGGAUAACAGUUAGAAAUGACUGCUAAUACCGCAUAAGCACACACUGUCACAUGACAGAGGGUGAAAAGAUUUAUCGGUACAGGAUUGGCCCGCGGCCCAUUAGCUAGUUGGUGUGGUAAAGGCAUACCAAGGCGAUGAUGGGUAUCCGGCCUGAGAGGGUGAUCGGACACAUUGGGACUGAGAUACGGCCCAGACUCCUACGGGAGGCAGCAGCUAAGAAUAUUCCGCAAUGGACGAAAGUCUGACGGAGCGACGCCGCGUGAACGAAGAAGGUGGAAACAUUGUAAAGUUCUUUUAAUUGAGAGGAAUAAGCUUUGUAGGGAAUGACAGAGUGGUGACUGUAUCAAUUGAAUAAGCAACGGCUAAUUACGUG
rnacentral:rRNA from 1 species